AAGUGAAAAAGAACAGCAGCAAUAGAGCCUCUGUGAGUGAGCCCUGACCCUGAAGGCAACCCUGACCCGUGCAUUUACCUUGGAAUAUUUCAGACUACGAGAAAACUGCAUCUGUUAGUGUGAAUGGGGCCAGUUCAGAGAAACAUGUUGGUUGGUUGGUUGGUUGCUUGCCUGCAAACCCCUGUAAUUCAAGACCCUCCUUGUGUUCUGGUGUUGAUCCUUAAGACCCCAGGUAGAAGAAGCUGCCAGCCAAAAAGAUUGGUGGCAAAUGUCACCCCAACAGGAAGAUGCAGCAAUGAGGAGCAGAUUUUAAGAGGGGAGCCCCCUUUUGAGGUGGAGAGCUGAUUAAUGACUGACUAAUGCACCACCCACCCAAGCCCUUCUCUGUGUUCCACCCCGUGACUUGGAGGGUAGUGGAUGACAGAAGAUUCCCCU